rnacentral:rRNA from 1 species
AGAAUCAACGCUGGCGGCGUGCCUAACACAUGCAAGUCGAACGAGAAAGUGGAGCAAUCCAUGAGUAAAGUGGCGACCGGGUGAGUAACACGUGACUAACCUACCUUCGAGUGGGGGAUAACCUCGGGAAACCGGGGCUAAUACCGCAUAACAUCUUCGGAGUGGAAAUUCUGGAGAUCAAAGGAGCAAUUCGCUGGGAAGAGGGGGUCGCGGCUGAUUAGCUAGUUGGCGGGGUAACGGCCCACCAAGGCUUAGAUCGGUA